UACGAAGGGGGCUAGCGUUGUUCGGAUUUACUGGGCGUAAAGCGCACGUAGGCGGAUCGUUAAGUUAGGGGUGAAAUCCCAGAGCUCAACUUUGGAACUGCCUUUGAAACUCCCAGUCUUGAGGUCGAGAGAGGUGAGUGGAAUUCCGAGUGUAGAGGUGAAAUUCGUAGAUAUUCGGAGGAACACCAGUGGCGAAGGCGGCUCACUGGCUCGAUACUGACGCUGAGGUGCGAAAGCGUGGGGAGCAAACAGG
rnacentral:rRNA from 1 species